UUUGAGGCAGGUAGAGCCAAGAAAGCUGGCUGGGCUCAGAGGAGGGGGCAGUUCAGGCUCCUGUCAGCAGCAGCCCCUCCACUGUGUCCCCUGGCCCUCGGGGCAGGACGGGAGGAAGGGACAAUGUGGUUUCCUCUGCUCGAGCAGCUCAGACCUCAUAGCCACCAGUGGGAGCUGAAAGAUGAGACAAGCUCCUUCCCCAGGCAUGGGGAUGAGGCAGUUACAGGAAGCUCAGGAAACAGAUGUCCCGAGUGAAGCAGGCACUAGGUGGUCUGACCCAGAUCCUCCCCCAUCCAGACAGUAGUACCCAUUCCAGCCCCAGUACUAACCCCCUGGAGCUCAGCUCUCAUCCCAGAUCCACCUCUAAGUCACUGGGGGCAGGUGACCUACUCUUUUGAGACUUCAGCCUACUAGUCAUCCAAGGGGAGACUUAGACUGGCCUCUGCUUCCUUCAUAAACCAUAUGAAGAUAAAGGGUGAUAGAGAGGUCGGGUGCGGUGGCUCACGCCUGUAAUCCCAGCGCUUUGGGAUUACACCUGCCAAGGCGGGUGGAUCACCUGAGGUCAGGAGUUCGAGACCAGUGUGAUCAACAUGGUGAAACCCACGU
rnacentral:lncRNA from 1 species